CAGCAGCCGCGGGAAAACGUAGGGUGCAAGCGUUAAUCGGAAUUACUGGGCGUAAAGCGUGCGCAGGCGGUUUGUUAAGACAGAUGUGAAAUCCCCGGGCUCAACCUGGGAACUGCAUUUGUGACUGGCAAGCUAGAGUGUGGCAGAGGGGGGUGGAAUUCCGCGUGUAGCAGUGAAAUGCGUAGAUAUGCGGAGGAACACCGAUGGCGAAGGCAGCCCCCUGGGCCAACACUGACGCUCAUGCACGAAAGCGUGGGGAGCAAACAGGAUUAGAUACCCGUGUAGUCCCUGUCUCUUAUAC
rnacentral:rRNA from 1 species